rnacentral:lncRNA from 1 species
CCUCCUUUACACAUAGGAAACCCAAGUCCAAAUCGGUUAAGUACCAAGGGACGGCUACUCAAGGGUAGCUGGGAGGGCGUUUGGGAGUCGAGUCAGGGUCUGGCCCUGAGCCGCCCUUGAUCUGGUGCAGCGUCGGAGGAGUGAGGUGACCGGGGCUCUCCGAGGCCUCCCUCGCCGGUGUACACUCUCGGCCUCAGCUCUCAGCCGCUAGCGAGGCUGGGUCGGCGCUCUGGGCUCUGCAGGCCCCGGGUAGCGUGGGCGCGCCGGCCGGCUUGGGGGGGAAUUUCCGGUGUGCCUGCUUUCCGGACCCCCCCACCCUCAGCCAGCCUCGUCCUCAGACCCACGCUCACCCGGGAACCCCUUCCAGGCCCGGGCCGCCAAAGUGGGGGGCAAAGCGUUGAGCUCCGCGAAGACGCGUGCGUGGCCCGCGCCGGGGCGGGCUGGGGGACCCGGGCGGCCGCAGUUCACACCAGUGCGCCUGCCUUCUCCGCAGGGCCGACCUUGCCUUUGUCACCGAAGGUGGGAGAGCCAAGGCGCUGGCCCCUAGGGGGCGCUUCGAGCCGAGAGAGCGCGCAGAUCCACCCCUCUUACCCAACCUCCCUCCUCCUCACCUGCGCUCGGCCGGCCACCUCGCUCCGUAAACACGGAAGGUCUAGCCCGCCUGCCCUCCACGGCGAUCGCUGCCCAGCGGGAAGGAGCUAACGCAUCCAGGUUGAAGGCAGCUGCUCCGGGACCGACGUCUCUUCCGGCUUUGCUCCCGGCUUCUGGGUCUUUCCGUGCAUCGGCUCUGGGCUGGUGUGCCAUCUUGUGCCAGGCCCUAGCUCCUUGAGAGCUCCCGAGCGUGUAGAUACCUCACCGGUGGGUGCCAACCCAGGAGGCACUCGCAGUGCUGAGUGGACGACCCCGUGGGUGUUUAACCCCAUCUCUCCGUGUUUUGAGAAGAAAUUUAGGGACGAGAAUGGAAACUGAAGCCGGGCGUGGUGACGCACGGCUGUCAUCCCAGGUCUUGGGAGGCUGAGGCAGGAGAAUCGUCUCGAGUUCGAGGCCAGCCUGGGCUACAUAGUAAACCCCGUCUCAAAAAACCAACAACAAAAAAGCGAAGUGUGACACUACUCGAAGCCAGUCUGGCUGUGGAGAACCCACCACCCAGCUUCACCGUCCAAAAGGGUCGAUGGCACCACAUUUUCCAGUUUUCUCAACCGUGCUGAGGCAGGGAGAGGAGUCAUCCAGAGCCGCUGAAGGGCGUGGGGAGAGUCAGGGUUUAAAAAUAGCCGCGACCCAGCGGCUGCAGAGGGAGCUGCUGCUGACUUGAACAUUCAGCAUCACCAAAACACAACAGCACCGCCUAGCUCGUUUUGUCAAUGUGGUUUUUCCACUAUUAUUUCUGCAACGCUGGAGGCAUGCAGACAGAAGGGAUGCAACCUGCAGGAUAUGCCAGGGCUUGUCUAAAAAUAUUUGACACCUGUUCUGUGUUCCGCACACUGGUCAUAUUUUGUCAGUGAAGUAAGUACUCACGACGCCAGGCAGAAUGUGUUUUUUCUUCCCAGUGCUCAAUGUUUUUCCCUUCUGCAGCGUAAACCUCCUCCUCUUUUCUUCUUCUCUCUCUCUCUGUCUCUCUCUUUCUUUCUUCUGGACUGGGGAUCAAACUUGGAUCCUUGAGAGGCGGGCGAUGGAACCACUCAGGUAAAUCCCUGGCCCCUCCCCCUCUUUUCUACCUGCAUGAAAAUGUGGGAGCCCUGCACCGCUGUCUGCUUGAGCGACACUAACUCCUCCCAUUCCUGGGCCAGCCUGGUAGAAACAGUGUCUGCGCUGCUUUUCCCAACAGCACGGCACUUUCUUUUAUUUUAUUUUCAAUUUUAAUUUUUGUUUUUUUGAGACAGUCUCACUAUGUAGUCCGGGCUGGCCUCCAACUCACAGUGAUCCUCCUGUCUCAGCCUCUCCAGUGCUUGGGGCACAGGAAUGCGCCACAAGGCCUGGCUGUUCUUCACUUUUCUGAUUUCAUAGGGCAGCAAACAUGGCCAAAAUUCUGGACUUCAUUGCUUUAAAUUCUAUAAUCCUCUCAGGACCUGUGUUCUAUCACCGACCACUCUAACUGGGAGAGACUGGUUCUCAUCCUCCUCAGGAAUUAUAUUGACUUCACAGUACCCACUGGGUAAAUGGGUGAGUAAACGGGUCCAUCCGUGCCAAGCAGCUUAAUGUGGUUGAUUAAUCAAGGAAUUAGACAUAAAAUUUCAAAUAGCCUCCAGAUAUAAUCCUAUAAUCUUAGCACUUGGGAGGCUGAAGCAGGAGGAUCACCUUGAGUUUGAAGCCAGCCUGGGCUAUAUAGCAAGACCCUGUCUCAAAAGAACAAACAAAUAGCUUCCAGGCAUGGUCUGCCUCCUGUUUUCAUGUUUUCUUCUAAACUUGAGGAACUGUGAGAUAGUCUCAAAAUUCUAACAUGUAUAGCAAGUCUUCUAAAAUAUAAAAUCUUAUAUAUCUCAAAUAUUGAGAAAUGGAUAGAUAUUUACUAUUUACAAGUCAAGUUUCAUUAAUAACAAGACUGAUGGUACAGUCUAAACUUCCAAAAGCCCACCUAAGGGUUCAAUAGUAUUUAAUCCAAUCAAAGUCUGACUAACCUAAAAAUGUAAAUAUAAAAAUAUAAAUCCUAGGCAAUGUCACAUAUUAAUUCAUACAUAAACUAUAGAAAUUGUUUUGGGGCUUUUUUUUUGGUACCAGGGAUCAAACUCAGGACCUUGUGCUUGUGAGGCAGGCGGCAAAACCACUGAGCUAAAUCCCCGCUUGGGGCAUUUUUCAAAGUGGGCUUCUUUGUUUAUUGUGCAGUUUAAAUAUAAAUUAGCUGAGCCUGGUGGUACACACCUGUAAUCCUAGCACUCUGGGCAGGAAGGCUGAGGCAGGAAGAUUGCAAAUUUCACCCCAGCCUGGGCAACUAAGAGAUUUACCAAGAAUCUGUCUCAAAAAAAAAAAAAAUAAAAUAAAAUAAUAAUAAUAAUAAUAGUAAAGCUGGAGAUGUAGCUCAGGUCCUGGGUUCAAUCCCCAAUGCUGCUACCAAAACAAGAAAAGGACAUCCAGCAUAGGUUAUGCUUCUAAAAUGAAGUGUUAUUUUUUUUUCAGUACUGGAGAUCUAACCCAGGCCUUCAUGCAUGCUGAGCUAUAUUGAGCCUAGAUCUUCCAGACAAGAAAGUAGUACCUUCCUAGUAUACUACAGAAAACCAAAGGACUUGGCUGGGCUUGGUGGAGCACACCUGGGAUCCUAGCCAGCCUGGGCUACAUAGUGAGUUCAAGGCCAGCCUGAACUGCAUGGCAAGAUCUGGUCUCAAAAAACCCUCAAGAACUCUGAUCCCAAGUGAGCUCCUGGGCUAGACUGAUUAAACUUCUACUAGUUGGCUUACUAACCAUUGUACUGGAUUUUAUUCAGCAAGGACACUUUCACAUACUUGCCUUUAAUAAGGCUGUUUCCCUCUCAACUGUUCACGCACUGGAGCUGAACACAUCCUGCCAGACCAGGAUGGACAGCCGCCCUUCUAUCUGCC